AACGCUGGCGGUACUAAUCUACACAUGCAAGUCGAACGGUCUCUUAGGAGAUAGUGGCGGACGGGUGAGUAACGCGUGAGAACCUGCCUCUAGGACGGGGACAACAGAGGGAAACUUCUGCUAAUUCCCGAUACGCCUUUGGGUAAAAGAUUUAUCGCCUAGAGAGGGGCUCGCGUCCGAUUAGCUAGUUGGUGGGGUAAAAGCCUACCAAGGCAGCGAUCGGUAGCUGUUCUGAGAGGAAGAACAGCCACACUGGGACUGAGACACGGCCCAGACUCCUACGGGAGGCAGCAGUGGGGAAUUUUCCGCAAUGGGCGCAAGCCUGACGGAGCAAUACCGCGUGAGGGAAGAAGGUCUUUGGAUCGUAAACCUCUUUUCUCAGGGAAGAAGAUCUGACGGUACCUGAGGAAUAAGCCUCGGCUAACUCCGUGCCAGCAGCCGCGGUAAUACGGAGGAGGCAAGCGUUAUCCGGAAUUAUUGGGCGUAAAGCGUUCGCAGGUGGCUAUUCAAGUCUGCUGUCAAAGACCAGAGCUCAACUCUGGGUAGGCGGUGGAAACUGAAUAGCUAGAGUGCGGUAGGGGUAGAGGGAAUUCCCAGUGUAGCGGUGAAAUGCGUAGAGAUUGGGAAGAACAUCGGUGGCGAAAGCUCUCUACUGGACCGCAACUGACACUCAGGGACGAAAGCUAGGGGAGCGAAAGGGAUUAGAUACCCCUGUAGUCCUAGCCGUAAACGAUGGAGAAACUAGGCGUAGAUUGUAUCGACCC
rnacentral:rRNA from 1 species